rnacentral:rRNA from 1 species
GCAAGUCGAGCGUGAAGGGGCGUUCGGCCCUGAGUAAAGCGGCGCACGGGUGAGUAACACGUGAAUAAUCUGCCCUCCGACCGGGAUAACAGACCGAAAGGACUGCUAAUACCGGAUAAGCCCACAAGCCAACCGGGCGUGCGGGAAAGUACGGGAUCCUUCGGGACCGUAUGCGGAAGGAUGAGUUCGCGUUCCAUUAGAUAGUUGGUGAGGUAACGGCCCACCAAGUCGACGAUGGAUAGCUGGUCUGAGAGGAUGAUCAGCCACACUGGAACUGAGACACGGUCCAGACUCCUACGGGAGGCAGCAGUGGGGAAUCUUGCGCAAUGGGGGAAACCCUGACGCAGCCAUGCCGCGUGAGUGAAUGAAGGCCUUCGGGUUGUAAAGCUCUGUCUAAGGGGACGAAUGGCACAUAGAACAAGACAUUAUGUGCGUGACGGUACCCUUAAAGAAAACACCGGCUAACUCCGUGCCAGCCGCCGC